rnacentral:rRNA from 2 species
GGCGGCGUGCCUAAUACAUGCAAGUCGAACGAGUUCUCGUUGAUGAUCGGUGCUUGCACCGAGAUUCAACAUGGAACGAGUGGCGGACGGGUGAGUAACACGUGGGUAACCUGCCCUUAAGUGGGGGAUAACAUUUGGAAACAGAUGCUAAUACCGCAUAGAUCCAAGAACCGCAUGGUUCUUGGCUGAAAGAUGGCGUAAGCUAUCGCUUUUGGAUGGACCCGCGGCGUAUUAGCUAGUUGGUGAGGUAAUGGCUCACCAAGGCGAUGAUACGUAGCCGAACUGAGAGGUUGAUCGGCCACAUUGGGACUGAGACACGGCCCAAACUCCUACGGGAGGCAGCAGUAGGGAAUCUUCCACAAUGGACGCAAGUCUGAUGGAGCAACGCCGCGUGAGUGAAGAAGGCUUUCGGGUCGUAAAACUCUGUUGUUGGAGAAGAAUGGUCGGCAGAGUAACUGUUGUCGGCGUGACGGUAUCCAACCAGAAAGCCACGGCUAACUACGUGCCAGCAGCCGCGGUAAUACGUAGGUGGCAAGCGUUAUCCGGAUUUAUUGGGCGUAAAGCGAGCGCAGGCGGUUUUUUAAGUCUGAUGUGAAAGCCCUCGGCUUAACCGAGGAAGCGCAUCGGAAACUGGGAAACUUGAGUGCAGAAGAGGACAGUGGAACUCCAUGUGUAGCGGUGAAAUGCGUAGAUAUAUGGAAGAACACCAGUGGCGAAGGCGGCUGUCUGGUCUGUAACUGACGCUGAGGCUCGAAAGCAUGGGUAGCGAACAGGAUUAGAUACCCUGGUAGUCCAUGCCGUAAACGAUGAAUGCUAGGUGUUGGAGGGUUUCCGCCCUUCAGUGCCGCAGCUAACGCAUUAAGCAUUCCGCCUGGGGAGUACGACCGCAAGGUUGAAACUCAAAGGAAUUGACGGGGGCCCGCACAAGCGGUGGAGCAUGUGGUUUAAUUCGAAGCAACGCGAAGAACCUUACCAGGUCUUGACAUCUUUUGAUCACCUGAGAGAUCAGGUUUCCCCUUCGGGGGCAAAAUGACAGGUGGUGCAUGGUUGUCGUCAGCUCGUGUCGUGAGAUGUUGGGUUAAGUCCCGCAACGAGCGCAACCCUUAUGACUAGUUGCCAGCAUUUAGUUGGGCACUCUAGUAAGACUGCCGGUGACAAACCGGAGGAAGGUGGGGAUGACGUCAAAUCAUCAUGCCCCUUAUGACCUGGGCUACACACGUGCUACAAUGGAUGGUACAACGAGUUGCGAGACCGCGAGGUCAAGCUAAUCUCUUAAAGCCAUUCUCAGUUCGGACUGUAGGCUGCAACUCGCCUACACGAAGUCGGAAUCGCUAGUAAUCGCGGAUCAGCACGCCGCGGUGAAUACGUUCCCGGGCCUUGUACACACCGCCCGUCACACCAUGAGAGUUUGUAACACCCGAAGCCGGUGGCGUAACCCUUUUAGGGAGCGAGCCGUCUAAGG